rnacentral:lncRNA from 1 species
UGGUGCUGGAGAGUUGUAGCAGCAGCUUUGCGCCCUCUCUUUCUCUUGCUCUCUCUCCUCGUUUCUCUUUCUCUCUCUUUCCUCUCUCUCUCUCUCUCUUUCUCACACUAUCUUUUCUUUCUCUCUCUCUUUUUCUCUCUUCCCCUUCACUCCCUUUUUUCCUUCCUUCCUUCCUUCCUUCCUUCCUUCCUUCCUUCCUUCCUUCCUUCCUUCCUUCCUUUCUUUCUUUCUUUCUUUCUUUCUUUCUUUCUUUCUUUCUUUCUUUCUUUCUUUCUUUCUUUCUUUCUUUCUUUCUUUCUCUCUUUCUCUCUUUCUUUCUUUCCUUCCUUCUUUCUUUCUUUCUUUCUUUCUUUCUUUCUUUCUUUCUUUCUUUCUUUCUUUCUUUCUUUCUUUCUUUCUUUCUUUCCUUCCUUCUUUCUUCUCACCCUCUCUUCCUUCCUUCCUUCCUUCCUUCCUUCCUUCCUUCCUUCCUUCCUUCCUUCCUUCCUUCCUUCCUUCCUUCCUUCCUUCCUUCCUUCCUUCCCAAGUAAUUCACAAAGUUAUAGGGACACAUAUUUAAAGCAUUCUUUUAUUUACCCACAAUUCAUUUAUAAUAUUUUAUUUAUUAUUUUAAUUUUAUGCUGCAUUUGUAUAUGCACUCAUAUACAUAUCCAGAUACACAUAUGUUUUGGGAUGACUUGGUUAUUCCUUUGACACAAUUAAUACUAUUUUCUCUUUUCCAAGUUUGCUUAAAAAUAGAAGCCACUCACUGAAACUUCACUUUGCUAUCAUUGUCUUUUUUAAAAAAGUUAAAAACAAACAGAAAAUAAGAGCUCCCAGAGAAGCAACAAGUUAAAUUGAGGAGAAUGAUAUUCUGUGCAGACUGCUUUGAAAUACUGUAAUUAUUUGGGGAUAGACCCAUCUAGUCAUGUAUGAAUUAAAAGGCAAAGUACUGGAUAAAGCCACAGAUUUUAAAUUAUUGGAGAUUGGCAAAUCAUCUUUGCCAAGUGGUGGUGGUGAUGGGAAGAAGGGGAGGGAAGACCGUAGCCAAUGUAGUACCUGCCCCCAAUGCAAAGUGGGUAUUUAUUCAUUUGCUUCUAUUUGAGAAUGAUAAGGUGCCGAGACACUAUUGCAACAGUGAACAGCAAUUGCCUGAUUAGCAUUUACAAAUUAAAACGUUAAGCAUACUCAUGAUCCAGACAGGGUGCUCUAUGCAUGGGGAGCAGGGAGGCUUUUAAAAUGGGAGCAUUUCUGUGAAAAUGCAGCCUUGUCAAUCUGGAGGUUUAUAUAGGAUGGGCCCAUGUGUUCAAUGUUUCUGAAGUUUUCAAAUGGAGAAACCCAUAGGUCUUGGGCCCCAAUUGAUAGAGCUGAACUAUGUGAUAUUCCAGAAAGUUCUCAGGUAUCUUGGACCAAUUUAUAGUUUCAGUUAUAAAUGCAAAGAUAUGAUUAUCUUGCAAAAAGAAUAAUGUUUUCAAUCUAAAUAGUGUGAGGGCUCCUUUUAAACUAAUAAGCUAUUUUAGGACCUGGAAUUUGGGUAUGAACAUUAGACAUUAAACUGCCCUGGAAGAUAAAAGUGUGCUUUAGAAAAUAAAUUAUCAUCAUCAUUACCA